rnacentral:rRNA from 1 species
UACGAAGGGUGCAAGCGUUGUUCGGAUUUAUUGGGCGUAAAGGGCGUGUAGGCGGGUUAUUAAGUCAGGUGUGAAAUUUUGGGGCCUAACCCCAAACGUGCGCCUGAAACUGGUAAUCUAGAAUGUCGAAGGGGGAUAGGGAAUUUCGCAUGUAGGAGUAAUAUCCGUAGAUAUGCGAAGGAACACCUGGGGCGAAGGCGCUAUCCUGGUCGACUAUUGACGCUGAGGCGCGAAAGCGUGGGGAUCAAACAGG